rnacentral:lncRNA from 1 species
UAAACCCUCUAUCCAAUGUCACACAAAACACCUAAUCUCCUACAUAGAACUCAAGGGAAUUGCAUUUCCGAGCAACCUACAUUUCUAAACAAAAAACAACAUAAUCGAUUCCACGCUUGCCACAAGAUAAUCCAAGCCUGUCUCACACUUUCACAAGUUUUUACAUUCAUAAUUUGUCAAUAACUACCUACUAAAUGAAAGAGAAUUCCUAUUUAUGGUCUAGGCUAAGUUAUUACAUCAUAUGGCCCAAAAGUGACCCAUUUAGGAAAUACUAAACAUAGAAGCCCAUUAAUCACAUGCUUGAGCAUUUGUAGAUCAUUUGGGGUGCACCCCAAGGGUAUAGUGGGCUGUUUUGACCCACUCUAGCGGAUCUAGAGCGGGUUGGGUGCACCUCCAAAGCAGAUGGGGUGCAUGUCCUCGUUCGGGGGCUUUCUAUCCCUAUUUUUCCUUCCCUUGGCCUUAAUAAUUUCCCUUGAGCCUCUUUGAUCAUAAUAAUCAUCCAAUGGAUACCUUUUGGUAACCAUUAAGAAGUCAUCAAGUUUCUCUUGACCCGUUAGCAUCAUCUCAAGCAAUUUGAAGGCCAUUUAGAUUGUAUCCUCCUCUCCUUCUUCAAGAAGAUUCUUCCUCGAAUCUACAACCUUUAAACAUAAGAUAAGAAAACACAACCAAUAUUUCCUCAUGGAAUGAGGGUUAGCACAAGGGUUAAAAUAAAAAUAUCCAUGCCAAGGGAAUAUCUAUUUCACAUAUAACCAAACAUCCUUUAAGACAAUGGAAGAGAAGUCAACAUUAAAAGUGCAAAGGAGUUGGCUAUGAUAAGCAUCAAGAAAUUUCCCUAAGUAGGUUCCAUUAAGAAGAUUUCCAAACAACCUCAAUAUGAUAAAAAUAUCAUCAUGCCAAAGUUGCACACAUUUAAGAUAUAAUCAAGCAUCAAAAUGAUAAAUCAAGAGUGUAUAACCCCAUAAUAUAGAAACUACUUGGUUAUUCAAGAGAUUUUAACAACGGGAAAGGCUAAAGAAACCGUGGUAAUCAAUUAACAUCUCAUGAUGGUUUAUAUGGGUUCGAAGUUUUAAUAAUCACAUAACCCCUCUAGAACACUCAUCCAUUUUAGAAAUCCUUCCCUUACACAGCUUUGGUCCCUCAAGUAGAUUAGAAAACUUCAAGAAAGACUCUCCAUCAUAGGGAUGAGUUCCAACAAGCUCAACCAUGGUUUGCUUGUCAUCUUUACCAAGCACCAAGCGGUAUGAAGAAAAACCAGCAUAAUCGAAAUAAUCAUCGGGGUCAAAUGGGUAGGGUGUCCUUAGACAUGGGUUUAGGCAACACUCCUCUCCCCCAAGAGUUCCCCCAAUACAAAAAAUUAUACCCUCUACACUAGUAUGAACAUCAUCAAAGGAAAAUAGAAGGUCACUCCUAUUCGAUUGACCAACAUUUUCAACAUCAUAACUUACUUGAGGUUCAUUAACCAUAUCUCAAACAUCCUCAAGUGGUAUACUAGGUUCACACAUAUGUUGGUCCACAUAAUUUCCAUAAGACAAUGUAUUAUCACUUAUCAAAAUGGCUUCAACACUAGGUGGACACAAAUCGAUCUUACUAGAGUAGACAAUUUGUUAAACAUUAGUAUCAACUAGUGUAUCCAUACACUCAAUUUGUACAUUAUCAUAAUUAAGUAAAUAUACAUUAGGAUUAUCUAAAGAUAAGAUAUCACUCACACAUAGUUGGCUACUAGCCUCACAAUGAUCUUUCAUAUUUACUAGAGUGCAAGAGUUAUCUUGGUUACCUUGAAGUUCAUUUGGAGUAUGAUCACUCAAGGGAUCUUGAAGGUUGGAGUUACAAUAGUUUAUACGAUCUAUUAUGUUGUACAUCCUUCCACCCAUGUUAUCUAUCUUACGAUUGAGAGCUUCAAGGGCUGCUAAGAUAGAAUUUGAGGUAUUUUCAUCCAUGGUACCAAAUAAAAUAAAUACUAAAAAAUCAAAAAAAAAAACAAGUUAAAGUUAGGAAAUAAACCUCACAAUCUCUCAAUGUUCACAUCUUUGGUUUGUCUCUCAAUUGGUGUCGCAAGCCUUGAAAGAUCGUUUAUACUCCAAUGAGUAUGUGUGGUACCAAUUAUGGCUUGAGUUCAGAAUGGACUUCUUUUUUUUUUUGAAAUACUCAAAAAAUAAAAUUAUUUAAUGACUUGAACCACGAAAUCAAAAUGAAUCAAAAGAUAAAAGCUUGAAAGAAGUAGGACGACAAAAGAAAUAGGACUCAAGAACUAAUCGAUCAACAUAGUAGGGAUUUAAGAAGGGAUUUAAGAAUAAAGAAAUUGAAAUUAAGAAUCAAACCUUGAGCAAUGGAGUUUUUAAAUUGUUUAUAGGUUUUUUAGAACUUUAUUUGAUGUUAGAGAAGUGUUGAAAUGCAUUUGGAGUGCAUUUGGGGUUGUUUGCAUUCACCAGAGGUAUUUUGCAUUGAUGGGAUGUGUUUGGGGCUGCUACAGCAUGUGGGUCACUGUUUGGACAUAGGAAAUACCUUACCUAUUGGUUGGAGGUAAGUUGGACCUGCUGGAGCAGACCAAGAGUACCUUGGGCACAGAUGCAAAGCAGGUCACCUGCCCUUCUCUCUUGAAAUGGCCCUUUCUUCCCUCUAAAAGGUCCCCCUUGUACUCUCUUGUGGAAUAUCCUUUAGAAUCUUCUUUUAUGCUCUAUGAAAAAACACUUUUUCCAUACUUUUCUUCCUUCUUUUUGGAUUAAACAACAACUUUUGAUGAAGAUUUGAAUAUAUUCAACAACCCCAAGAACACUAACUUCUUCUCCAAGGCUAAAAUAGGUUAAAAUUUUGAAUGUAAGAACUUUUCAAUGAUGUAAACUCAUUAACAACAUUAUUUUGCCCAAAUUCUCAACCGAUUUUUCCAAAUUUUUGUCCUCUUCACUUUCUUCAAAUUCAAUCUUUCAAUAAUGGUAACUCACUCAAAAUGACUCCUAUUAAGCUCAAAUUUGAAACUUAGACUCCAUUACUGUUAGAGAACACAAAUCUAACACUAUAAACCUAAUAAAAACAAAAAAAUCAAAAAAUUAAUAGUUGACCUAGGGAUAAAAACAUGAAUAGUACUUUUUUAGGGAUUUUCAAUUUUGACACUUUUUUUGUAGAUUUUCAAGAUAACAAACCCAAGAUUAACUUCAUAGGAAUAAAAUCAAGAUCGGCUCUGAUACCAAAUGAUAUAUGAACAAAGUAUAAAAUCAAAAACUAAACUACAAUAUGAAAAUAAAAGGUAAGAUAGAUAGAGAACAAAUAAUAGAUAGACACAAUAUAAAUGAACAAAAAAUAAAAGGUGCAUCAAACCCUAAACCCUCUAUUAAAUAUCACACAAAGCACCUAAUCUCCUAUGUUGACCUUAAGGGAACUGGAUUCCUAAGUAACCCACAUCUCUAAACAAAAAAUCAACAUAAGCGAUUUCACGCUUGCCACAAGCUAAUCCAAGCGUGCCUUAAACUUUCACAAGUGUUUACAUUCAUAAUUCAUCAAUAAAUACGUACUAAAUUAAAGAGAAGUCCUAUUUAUGGUCUAGUCUAAGUUAUUACAUCAUAUGGCCCAGAAAGUAACCCAUUUAGGAAAGACUAAACAUAAAAGCCCAAUAAGCACAUACUUGAGCAUUUGUAGAGAAUUUGGGGCACACCUCAAGGGUAUUAUGGAUUUUUUUGAGGUGAGUAGGCCAUUUGGAUUAUGAUUUUCAUUUUCCAUCUAGGUUGGGUUAUAUUCGUCCUUUCUUUCAUGUUUUGAUAUUGAGAAAGUGUAUGGGUAAUCUUUCCUUGAUUGUUCCUUUGAAGAGUUGAUGUUUUAAAUUCCUUAUCCUAUGAGGAAGUCCUAGUGUAAAUUUGGGAUUGGAAAGUCCUUCAUUUGAGGACUAAAAGUGUGGCUUUGGUGAAAGUUCUAUGAAGGAACCAUAAGUUCGAAAAAGCUACUUAGGAAGCCGAAAAGUACAUUAAGUCCUCUUUGGAUAAUCAUGCUUGAGGUAUGUGUAUUUCCCUAACAUCUUCGUUUUCUGUCUUUGUUAAAGGUAAGUGUGGUUGUACUCAGCAUUAAAUCAUGCUAAUGGAUGCCUUGACCUAUUAUUCUAGGAUGAAUAAUCCUAAGAGGAGAGAAUGAAACACCCUAUAUUUUGGUCAUUGAAAAAGUCAUAACCUAUGAGCUAACUGCCUAGACAAGACACUCCCUGUGAGUCGUAGGCUGUGAUUACGAGUCGUAGGACCCUAAUCAUAGACUGACAAGUAUGGAUUAUCCAAAUUUUUAUUAUGAUAAUGAUAGGCUUCUAAUGAAUUAUAAAGACUUUAUACGAGUUGUAUAGUCCCAUCUGUAGCCAAACCAGUGUGAUACCUAAAUAUUCUGUCUAGCCUAUAAUUUGAUCAAACUAGUCGUAAUAUCUAAGUACGACUUAUGUGGUAUGACUUAUAUCCUGAACCAGUGUGGUUGCCCAUGGAUAUUGUCAAGACUAUGACUGGUGGUCAUGAUUUGUAAGGUGAACCUACGAGUUGUAAGGUCACUCGUAACAAUUAGGCAAUAAUUUUCCAAUAUUUCAUUAAGGGCACUUUAGAUAUUUUCCCUUAUCCCCAAAUGUGACUCACGACUUUAAAACCUUAUUGGGACCCCAUUCCCAUUCAUAACAUACCAAAAUAACUUCUGUCUUCUCAUACAUUCUCUCAAGCAAGAGCAUUAGGGUUUUCUAAAGGUUGAUUAUCUAGAGCUUCCAAGAGAAAAUUCCAAAAUUGUGAUCCUUUCAGGCAUGUUACUCUUCCCCAAAUCAUAUUUUGUGAAAAUCAUAUAUUUUAAAUAGUUUAUUGUAUGGAUUUGAAUGUAGGUUUUGACAUGGGUUGAGGUUUUUGGAAUGGUUGAUCCUUGAAUGGUUUCCCAUGGUUUUUAUGAGGUGUUCAUGCUUUGAAUUAAAUGUUUUUGAACUAAUGGAGUGCACGGGUGUGUAAUUUGAAUAGGGGUCGAGAUAAUAUCCUAAAUUGAUGUUUUGAACUUGUAAAUUGAUUUUGAAUAAUUGUAUUCCCUCAAACCACUUGUGUAAAUGUCUUUGAAUUGUGGAAUUAUCACUUGGUUUGACUUACUCACCUAUUUUAUUGAAUUGCAUAAAUGGUUAAACAAUGAACAUGAAUUUUGAAGGCAUUGUUUGCUAUGUUUUUUAUUUAAUGAACAAAGAGGGUCGAGGCAUUCCCCCAAGUUAAUGGAAUCGUAAUGGCAUGAUUAUAAGCUUGCAAGCUAAAUGGUGUGAUGAUACCAUGGUGUGCCUUAAUGUAUGAUUCCUUGAUUAAUUAAUAGGUUAAGUAAAAAUUAUUUUUAAUUAUGAUUAACAAAUGUUAUGUAGAUAAGCCAUAAAGGUGUGGGUCUCGAACGACUUAUACUAGAAAUUCACAUUUUUCGAUGUAAGGGUUGGUCUAGUUGACCGUGUGCAUGGUUCACAUUAUUGAUAUAUUUUGUAUCUAGUAUUGAUGUGGGGUCGGAGAAAUCCUUGAACUUCCUUGAUACCUCUAGUUUGUGUAGCUAACACGCAUUGGGUCCCUUUCAGCAGGGGGAGCUAAACCCAUAUAUCCCCCUGGGUGCCUGUUUCUGAUAGUUGAGCUACAUAGUCCAGGAUAAUGUUUUAAUAUAAUGCUAAACCUUUUUCCCUACCCUAGCACAUACUACAUAUAUGUAUGUAUAAAUAUGAACAUGUAUAGUGAGUUUGAAGUUAAACUUUUUAUUGAUACUACUUUAUUGUUAUCCUGAGUUACAUGCUAGUGCUAACCCGACUAACCAUCACUGAACUCUAUAUCCCCACGUGAUGUAAGGUUUAAAGGCACUUCUACUUUUCUUGCACAGUGAUUGGUGAUCUUAGAGUCAGUCAUUUGCGGUGAAUUGGUGAGCUUCCAUUCUCUAAAAGACUUGAUUAUUCCAUCAAUUUCCUUCCAUAAAUUAUAACUGAAGACUUCACAAUUGCUUUGUCAUUGUUAGGGUCGGGGACAUGUCCCGACGUAGGUUGUUUUCUAGUAUAGAGGCUUUGUGUAUUACUGUAUACUGGGCAUUGGUUGUUGAUAUUCUUAGACUUUAAGUUACUGUUUUGUAAUACCCCAUGUAUACAUGCCACUUUACAAUGUACGACUCAUUCUCUUAAGUUAUAAAAUAACCUAUGAGUAGUAUGUUGUAGUCAUAUUCAAGAUAGUGUAAAAUGGUUGACGUUCUAUUUUAGGUAUAACUCAAACCUUAGAGUUGUAAGAUUAAUAUAUGAGUUGUAUUAAGAUGAGUCGUAAGGUCAGUAGCCUAGGUUCUUUAAGUUUCUCUCCAAGUUACGAGUGGGGGGCUACAAGUCAUAAUGUGUUGUUACUAGUCAUAGGUUUAGACUCGUAUGUUGACCAGUGUAUACCAUCGUGAUCCUUCCAACCUUAUGAGUCAUGAGGCUAACUCGUACCUUCACCAUACGAGUUAUAUGGUUGACUUGUGAAGACUGGUGAUCAAUUUACAUAAUGUUCAGUUAAAGGGCCUUUUGGUCUUUUCCCCUCUAUCAACUCCCAAUGCAUGACUUAUAAGCUAAAAUAGAGCAUUAUUUUCCUCCACUUUUAGUCAAUUAACAACAUUUUCUUCUUCCCAUCUUCAAGAUCAUCAAGAUUAGGGUUUUUUCAAACAAGUCAUCUUUCAAGUCUCAAAGUUCAAGCUCUCUUCAUAAGUCCAGAAAUUCUAGGUAUGUGGGGCUUAUGAACAAGGUUAUUCUUUUAUCCUUGUGCCCAAAAAGCAUGAUUUUAAAAUAAAAUUUACUUAUUUUUAAUUAGGUUUCAUACCUAAAUAACCACAUUCUUGAAGUAUGACAUUACCAUGUGAUAGAAAGCUUUAAGUGUAUCAAGGUUUAAAUAUAUUCAUGUUUUGACUUGUAAGAUUUAUAUUGUGAUUUGAAUUUCAUUAUCUUAAGUGGGAUGUUGUUGAAAUAUUUCAAGGUGAUAAUUGAACAUAAUGUUUUGUUAUGAAUUUCUAUGAAAUAAAGCAUGAAUUCUAAGUCCUAAGUACAAGUACUGAGUUUACAAAAAGUUUAUGCUCUUAAGCUCCAUAGAUAUGUUCUACAACAUGAUUUAAAGAAAGAUUGAUCUUUUGAUCUAAAGAUAAGACAUGAAAUCCACAACUGUUCAUCUUGCUUAUGAUUUAAAGUAAAGAAAGUCAUAACUGGGUUUCAUUCUAUAAAUGCUUAUGCUAUUAUAAGGUGGAUUUCUUAAGUAGGAGCAUAUAUGUAUUCUGCGAGUAGUAUUUAGCACCGAGAAGGGGAUAUGGAUGAGGAUAUCCUUAAUUCCUGGAAACUACGAGCCACUAUAGGUUAAACUUUUUCCCAAUAUGGAUGAAGUAUGGUGAUCACUUAAUUUAAGGUUCUAUAGGAUGGCAAGGAUAGAACAGCUCUCCCCAACGUGGGUAAGACAUUGGACUCCAUGGUAGCUCACAUGGUUUAUGUUGGUUAGAAGAAUAUCCUAUAAGAAAGAAUAAAAAUAAUAUUUUAGAAAUUAAGAGUUAUGUCUAACUAAGCUUAUUCAUAUGAUUCAUUAUCCAUGUUUUAUGUUCUUGUAGUCUUCAGUUUUACUCAAGUCUAAGGUGAGUCAUUUACCUUUUACAUGCAUCAUUUGAAAGUUUAUAUAUAUAUAUUCAAUUCUUAUUUUACUUAUGCAUUCACUCCCAUAUACUCAGUGCAUUCCAUAGGUACUGACCCACAUAUAUAUCUAUGUGUUAUAUUUUCUUAUAAUGUAGGUUCUGAUGCUCCUUUCCAGUAGCACAGUUGACUACAGGCAUCAGCAUCUGCAUCCUGACUUUUGGUGAGUCCAGAUAGUCCAAGGACCCAGAUUAUCAAACUUCUACUCAUUAAUGCAAGUAUUUUAGCAUUUGAUUUCCGAUUAAGUUUGGGUCAGGUGGGGUCUUCUAGUGGCUCUCUAGUAAGCAAUAGAGGCUUGUCAGACUGCGUACGUUUUAAGUUGAAGGAGUUUGUUUAAGGUUUCAAGAGUUAAAGAUUUAUAUUAAGCCAUGAAAUUGUUUACUUCAGUUUCUAUAUAUGUUAGUUCACUUUUUUUGCAAGUUUCAAGCUGAAUAGAUAUCAUGGGUUAUCUUAGGGAUAUCCAUAGUCUUAAAAAUCUGUAACAUCCAGGGGGUACUCCCGGGGCAUUACAAACUUGGUAUCAGAGCCAAAGGUUUAAAGAUUCCUAGCGAGUCAGACAAGCUGCACUUUGUAGAGUCUUGAUCAUGAGUUUUAAGCGCACCACAUUUCUGAGAAGGAGGCUACAGAAUGAGUUAGGAAUCAUCAUUUCUUUUAUGAUCUAUCAAGCUUACAGUUGUCUCUAUCUACCUUAACUUAUGCUUUUACGUGAUAGAAUAAGCCUCCUCAUCGAGCCAAUGCAUGCAGGAACAGUGAUUAACUACACUUGCACGCGAACCCUUUGAAUGAGAAUGUGUCUCAUGCUGAAUUUUGUGUUGCCCUCAAUGUAUUUUCCCAAGAUGUAAAUGCCAAUGUUUAGGUUAGGGAAACCAGCGAGCAACAGUCCCACUUCAGCAAAAUGGUAACCUAGCUGCAUCCCGAAUUUGGGUCUUUAAGAGAAUAAAUCCACUUGAGUUCCAUAGGUCAAAGUGGAUGAGGAUCCUCAACUCUUUAUUGAUGAGGUGAUAAAGAUUAUUCCAAUUAUGCAUGUUACUAAAAGGAAAGUGUAAAACUAGUAUCCUAUAGGCUAAAGGAUAUUGCUUAUGAUUGGGUCGCUAUGUGGAAGAAUGGUAGGGGUGAGAAUGUAGCUCCUAUGAGUUGGCAGGUGUUUUAGAGUUCUUUUUUAGACAGCUUCUUUCCUUGUCAGAUAAGGAAGGCUAAAGUGGAGGAGUUCAUGAACCUGAGGCAGGGCUCUAUAACAACGAAGGAGUACUGCCUUAAGUUCACUCAGCUAGCUAAAUAUGCCCUAGAGUUGUUAUCUAAUUCUAGAGCUCGUACGAGUAAGUUUGUUAUAGAGGUAUUUAAUUUUUUUAUCAAGGAAUGUAAGACUGCCAUGAUGAUUGAGGAUAUAGAUAUUGCUCAGUUGAUGACUCAUGCUUAAUAGAUUGAGGUGGAAAAUUUUCAAGAAAGAGAGAAGAAAAACAAGAGAGCUAGGACUGACAGUUUUAGUAUAGUUAACCAAGGUAUAGAGGGGAAGUUGUUCACAGUUUUAGGGUCAUUCAUCGAUGCUUGUACCAUCUUCAGCUAGUUCCCCUGCACCCAGGUCCAGGCAAGAGAAAUGGGGCAGGACUUUAAAUUCUAGGUCUCAGAAUAGUAUAGUCAGGAGGCCCAGCUACCAAACAUAUGCAAAGUGUAGAAGGACUAAUCUUGGUGAGCGUGUGUUGGGAAAAGGGGGUUGCUAUAGUUGUGGCAAGUUGGGCCACUGGAUCAAAAGAGUGUCCAUAUGCUAAGAAAGAAAGUAGAUAUACUCACCCUCAGACUUAAGCUACAAAUCCAGGAGCUCAUCCAGGCCUCCCAAUUUCUCCCCAGGGUGUGUCAUCCAGUACCGAUGGCGGUUAGUGCCAAAAUCAGCUCUAUGCCUUACCAUCUUGUCAGGACCAGGAGAGUUCACCAGAUGUCAUCACUAGUAUGCUUUGUGCCUUUCACCUUGAUGUAUAUAUGUUCUUAGACUUGGGAUCAAAUUUCUCUUAUGUAACUCCAUUAGUUCUUGUAAAUUUUGUGUAGGUCCUAAAAAUCUCCCUUAACCCUUCUCAGUUUCUACACCAGUGGUAAGUAAUUGCUAGGCAGUCUAUAGGGAGUGUCCUAUUACAGUCCUCCAUGAGAUUACACUAGUGAACCUAAUAGAGUUAGAGAUGGUAGGUUUCAAUUUUAUUCUGGGAAUGGAUUGGCUCCAUUCAUGCUAUGCAUCAAUAGAUUAUCGCACCCGCAUGGUGAAGUUUUAUUUCCCUAAUGAGGCAGUUUUUAAAUGGGAGGGUAGUUCUAUCUCUCCUAAAGGUAGUUUCAUCUCUUAUAUUAAGUCCAGAAUGAUAAUAUCAAAAGGGUCUAUCUACUAUUUAGUUUGAGUUAAAGGCUCUAAGUCUGAAGCCCCAGCAGUUCAAUCAAUCCUUGUAGUCAAUAAUUUUUUUGAGGUUUUCCCCGAAGAUCUGCCAGGGGUACCUCCAAAGAGAGAAAUAGAAUUCGAUAUUAAUCUUCUUCUGGAUACUCAGCCAAUUUUUAUUCUUCCAUAUCUUAUGGCACUGGUCGAACUUAAAGAGUUAAAGGAGCAACUUAAAGACCUCUUAAAUAAAGGUUUCAUCAGUCCUAGAGUUUCUUUGUGAGGUGCUCUAUUCCUUUUCGCAUGCAAGAAAGAUGGCACUCUCAGAAUAUGUAUAGAUUAUAGAUAGCUAAACAAGGCCACCAUAAAGAACAAAUAUCCUAUUUCCAGAAUCAAUGAUUUGUUUGAUCAACUUCAGGGUGCUCAGUGCUUCUCCAAGAUUGACCUUUGGUCGAGAUACCAUCAGUGGAAAGCCAAGGAGAAAGACAUUUCAAAAACAGUUUUCUAAAUAAGGUACGGCCAUUUGAGUUUGUGUUUAUGUCAUUUGGACUAAUAAAUGCUCCUACAGCCUUUAUAGAUUUGAUGAACAGGGUCUUCAAAUAGUACUUGGACAUAUUUUUCAUUAUUUUUAUAGAUGACAUACUGGUGUAUUCCAGGAGUGAAGAGGAAUAUGUAGACAAUUUGAGAAUAGUACUGCAGACCCUCAAGGAUCAUCAAUUAUAUGUGAAAUUUGGUAAAUGUGAAUUUUGGUUAGAAUCUAUUACCUUCUUGGGGCAUGUCAUUUUAGGGUUAGUAUUUAUGCCGAUCCUUAGAAGACUAAUGCAGUGAAGCACUGUCCUGGACUCAUCACUCCAUUUGAUAUCAAGAGCUUUUUGGGUUUAGUUGGAUAUUAUGGAAGAUUUAUUAAAGGGUUAUCCUCUAUAGCCGCACCAUUGACUACGUUAACCCAAAAGAAAGUGACAUUUAUAUCGUCAGAUAAGUGUGAGAAGAGUUUCCAAGAGUUGAAGGAUAGAUUGACUUUAGCAAUAGUGUUAGCUCUGCCAGAAGGAUUAGACAGAUUCGUAGUGUAUUGUGAUGCUUCUAGAGUUGGUUUAGGUUGUACGUUAAUGCAAAACGGGAGAGUGAUGGCUUAUGACUCUAGGAAACUUAAGGAUCACGAAAAAAAUUAUCCAACUCAUGACUUGGAGUUAGUUGUCAUGGUAUUUUCCCUAAAAAUUUAGAGGCACAGCCUCUAUGGUGUGAAUGUUGAUGUUUUCACUGACUAUAAGAGUCUUCAGUAUGUAUUUUCUCAGUAGGAGCUAAAUCUUUAUUGGAGAACGUGGUAAGAGUUGUUGAAUGUGCUCCAUCAUCCAGGUAAGGCCAACGUGGUGACAGAUGCACUGAGUAGGUUGUCCAUUGGUAGUGUAGCCCAUGUAAAGAAGGGCCAAAUUUUGUUCUUAAAGCUGAUUUGUGAAAGAUUAAAUACUACUCAUAGUCAUCAGAAGUCAUAUUCAGAUGUAAGUAGGAGAGAACUCAAGCUUGAAAUGGAGGAUUGGGUAUUUCUGAAAGUGUCAUAAAUAAAGAGGAUAGUGAGAUUUUAAAGGAAAGUGAAGUUGAGUUCGCACCUUAUUGGUCUUUCAGAGAUAGUAAGACGUAUAAGAGGGGUGGCUUACGAAUUGAACCUUCUACCAGAGUUAGUUGCGUUCACCCAGUGUUCUACAUUUUAUUGCGUAAGAAGUGCAUUGGAAAUCCAUUUUUAGUAGUUUCCCUAGAGAGUAUUCGGGUCAAAGACAACUUAAUGUAUGAGGAGAUUCCUAUGGAGAUACUUGAUGGGUAAGUCCGAAGUCUAAAGAAUAAGGAAGUAGCGUCAGUAAAGGUUCUUUGGAGAAACUAAUUAGCUGAAGAGGGCACUUGGGAAGCUGAAGCAAACAUUCUCUUUUCUUCCAACUCAGUUCCUGCCGAAGGUAAACAGUUAUUUUUAGUUAAAAUUCUUUCUCUUUGAGCCUAUUGUGAGUGAUUGGAUCCUUAUGAUAGGUAUAAUCUUGGUUGUAAGUUUAAUGUAGAGGUGUGGGAUUUCAUCUAAUUCCUAAUCCUAGAUGAAUCACAUUCGAGGACAAAUGUUUCUGAGGGGGAGAUAUUAUAACCCCAUGUCUAGAUGCCACUGUACAACGUAUAACUCAUUCCCUUAAAUUGUACAAAUAACCUAUGAGUUGUACAUUAUAGUUGUAUCAAAGACAGUGUGAAAUGUUUGACAUUUUUUUUAGGUAUGACUCAAACCUUAGAGUCAUAAGAUUACUAUGCGAAUCGUAUAAAGAUGAGUCAUAAGGCCAGUAGCCUAGGUUCUCUAAGUUUCUAUCCAAGUUUAGAGUGGGGGGCUACAAGUCGUAAUGUGAUGUUACUAGUCGUAUGUUUAUACUCGUAUGUUGACUAGUGUAUAGCAUGUUGGUCCUUCCAAGCUAACAAGUCAUGAGGCUAACUCAUACCUUCACCAUACUAGUUAUAUGGCUGACUCGUGAAGACUAGUGAUCAAUUUCAAUAAUGUUCAGUUAAAGGGCCUUUUUGUCUUUUCCCCUCUAUCAACUCCCAACGCAAGACUUAUAACCUAAAAAGAGCAUUAUUUUCUACCACUUUCAGUCAAUUAAUAAUACUUUCCUCCUCUCAUCCUCAAGAUCAUCAAGAUUAGGGUUUCUCUCACCAAGUUAUCUUUCAAGUCUCAAAGUUCAUGCUUUAUUCACAAGUCAAGCAAUUCUAGGUAUGUGGGGUUUAUGAACAAGGUUAUUCUUUCAUCCUUGUGCCAAAAAAGUAUGAUUUUAAAAUUGAAUUUACUUAUUUUGAGCUAGGUUUCAUACCCAAAUAACCGCAUUCUUGAAGUAUGACAUUACCAUAUGAUAGAAAGCUUUAAGUGUAUCAAGGUUUACAUAUAUUCAUGUUUUGACUUGUAAGAUUUAUAUUGUGUUUUAAAUUUCAUUAUCUUACGUGGGAUGUUGUUGAAAGAUUUCAAGGUGAUUAUUGAGCAUAAUGUUUUGUUAUGAAUUUCUAAGAGAUAAAGCAUGAAUUCUAAGUCCUAUGUACAAGGAAUGAGUUUACAAGAAGUUUAUGCUACUAAGCUCCAUAGAUAUAUUCUAUAACAUGAUUUAAAGAAAGAUUGAUCUUUUGUUCUAAAGAUAAGACAUGAAAUCUAGACCUAUUUAUCUUGAUUAUGAUUUAAAGUAAAGAGAAGCAUAACUGGUUUUAAUUCUAGAAACCUUUAUGCUAUUAUAAGGUGGAUUUUUAAGUAUGAGCAUAUAUGUAUUCUGGAAGUAGUAUUUAGCACCGAGAAGGGAAUGCAGAUAAGUGUAUCCUAAGUUCCUAGAAACGACGAGCCACCGUAGGUUAAAAUUUUUCCCAAUGUGGAUGAAGUAUAUUGAUCACUUAAUUUAAGUUUCUAUACCGAUAGCAAGGGUAGAACAGCUCUCCCCAACGUGGGUAAGCCGUUGGACUCCAUGGUAGCUCACAUGGUUUAUGUCGGUUAGAAGAAUCUCCCAUAAGAAAGAGUGAAAGUAAAGAUUUUAGAAACCAAGUGUUAUGGCUCACUAACCUUAUCCAUAUGAUUCAUUAUCCAUGUUUAAUGUUCUUGUAGUCUUCAGUUUUACUCUGCAUCAUUUGAAUGUUUAUAUAAUAUAUAUAUAUUCAGUUCUUGUUUUACUUAUGCAUUCACCCCCACAUACUCAGUACAUUCCAGAGAUAUUGACCUAUAUAUAUGUAUAUGUGCUACAUUUUGUUAUAAUGUAGGUUUGGUGCUCCUUUCCAGCACCACGAUUGACUACAGAAAUCAUUAUCAGCAUCCCGACUUUUGGUGAGUCUUCAUAGUCUGAGGAACCAGCUUAUAAGACUUCUAGUCAAUAAUGCAAGUAUUAUAGCAUUGGAUUUUUGAUUAAGUUUGGAUUAGCUGGGGUCUAUCCUAGUGGCUGUCUAGUUAGCAGUAUAGGCUUAUCAGACUGUGUACUUUUUAAGUUCAAGGAGUUUGUUUAAGGUUUCCAAAGUUAAAGAUUUAAUAUUAAGCCGUGAAUUUAUCUACUUUGGCUUCUAUAUAUGUUAGUUCACUUUUCAUGCAAGUUUCAAGCUGAAUAGAUAUCAUGGGUUAGCUUAGGGCUAUUCAUAGUCUUAAGCAUCGUAUGACAUCCAGGGGGUACUCCCAGGGCGUUCUACUUGUUAUAUGUUUGAAACUCAUUUGUUGAGUAGCGUAUCAUGUUCUGUUUAACUAGGAAAAAGGGUGGUCUCUGGUCCUCAGUGGACUUAAGAUACCCAUCAUGGCCAGGCCCUAGUUCGGGUCGUGAUAGGACCAUCCUUGGCUGCUAAAGCAACUACCGCUUAAAGCGGUUGCACCAGCUGAAUUUGGUGCUUGCCAAGUUUCCAUCGACCCUUAGAGAUUUAUUUGAAAUACCAUAAAUACAAAUGAACUAUAAUACCCUAUAAAAUUUGAUAUUCUAAACUCAACGACACCAUCAAAAUUUCAAUUCGAAGUCAUUUUGAUGAAAUGUUGGCCUCACAGCCAAGGAACUUUUUUAUCAAAAUCCAUCUCAUAGUCCAAAAUGAGUCUGAAACCCUCGGGACCGAACCAAGGGUCCCCUUAGCAUAAAAUUGACAUUCUAGACCUGAUGGAACUAUCAAAAUUAGCAUAAGAGAUUAUUAACCUAGCGUUUAUGCCCGAUAGCCAAUCCUUACCAACGUCGACUUCAAAAUACAAAAUUAGCUCUAGAAACCCAAAUGAACUGCCCAAUAACCAAAAUUUCAUCUCUAUUAAGUCAUAAAUGACUUGGGGAGACUACAGAAAAUCUCUAAUUGGUGAAUAAAUAUUGAAAUAUAGAAAAUGAUGUGGAAGGUCAAUACACAUACAUUGUAAAUUUCUAAAAGGACUCACAUGGAAUAAGCACGACCAUGGACUUAGGAAAGUAUGGAUGGAAGGAAAACUUCACUGGUAUCAUUCACAUGAUCUCUAAAAUAAACCACUAGCUAUAUAGACUUAUCCAUACUGAGAAUUUAAAACUCACUAAAGUAUUGGUGACUAAAACAUAUGCCUAUAACUAUGAGGUAAUGGAUACUAGUAUGAAAUUUCUAAUUGAGAAAAGAACUUUGUUACUUCCAACGCUCUUUGUUAGUAUUUUUAGUUAUAUAUAGGGAAAGGAAUCACAAGUAUGGCUUCAGUGUUACAUUCGACUGGGGAAAUUUGUAUGAGAUAAACACUAGGGUCAAAAUUUACACUACCAAAUCUGCAUUUUAAUCUUGGGUUAACUAUCCACCCAACACCAAAAUCUACAAGCUAUAUUCCCAAAGUAUCAAAGCCAAGCCUGGUGGUCAGCUAUCACCAACCCUACUACCAUGGUAUAUUAAAGUAACAAAGACUCUUCUAGAAAGAUCUAAGGUAAGAGGAGUACGACAGAAUCAUGGUUAAAAGACUCAUAACCCUUGAUACUCAACAAGGGCCUGAUGAGUAUAAUAUAGUAUAAAUGAGCUUGUUCAAAAUGUUUUAUCUGGGAAUAUACCUAGCCUAUGGUGAAUUUACUAAUCAUUAAGAACAUAUUAUGAGUAUGCAGGACAAAACACACUAAGAAAUUAUGGUUGAGUAAGUCCUAAGUUACAUGGUGUGAGACUGAUAUUCAUUGGCUCACAGAGCAAAUUUGGAUUUUUGAGCGAGACUAUAACUCUUUAUACUUUGUCCUGAGAAUAAACAUAUAUUUAAAUAAAGUGAGUACAUCAAGAUAAUGCACAUAAAUAGUAAGUGUCAUAAUAACAUAAGUCUUCUGAAGAGGCUAGGAUAAGAAUAGGUCUCUACCUCCAGUUAUCUUUAUUCUAGAACUUGCUAACAUACUACCUAAUUCUCCAAAACCUAACUUGUUCAAUACUUUAACAUCUCCCUCUUAUAUCACAGUCACCAUACAAAGUUGCAAGUCUUUAUUUUCAUUACUCUCUAACGAAACUCACUCAAACGAUCAAGAUAUACCACUUUAGGAACUAUUUAGACUAUGUACUUUCUUAUACCGGCUAAGAAAAUCUCUCUUUUAUUGUCCACCUUACAACUACUCUGCACUAUCACAAAUUUUUUCUAAGAUAUAAUUAUUCACCAUUUUUGUAGGGUAAGGGCCUGAGGAAUAUAAAUUCAUAUAGAAGAAAAUUUGAAAACAUACCUCACCUAGAUGUCUGAAAGAUGAAUGAAAUUAUGAUUAGUAUUGACCACAUGUUGCACUAGGAAAGGUAUCCUUCUGAUUUGGGUAACCUGGAGGGGUUAGAAAGUAGGCUGAGACUAUUAGAUAACCUCCCUACCCUUUGACAAAGCUACCGGACAAUCUCUCAACCUGUGUACUAGAUCGCCACAACCAAAACAACCUUUAUAGUCUUCCAUACAUUCUCUUAUAUGGUGUUUGCCAAACUUGUUUUAAGUGGGGUAGGAUUUUUUAUUUACUAUAUUUAUCUAAGGAUAAGAGCUAGACACUCCCCCCUUCUAAUCAUAAUGAGGCCUGGGUAACAGAAACUAAGUACUAGAUGAUGAAAGGGUUAGCCCUAAUGACCUUUGGGGAAAAUAAGAUCGGUUCUCACUAGCAAUCUUCUGGCAAUUAGAGUUAAUAUUCCCAAAUAUGACCUUGUUUCUCUCUCUUUGUGUCUUCUUACUAAUAGAGUUUAUAGGUACUGCGACUUUUUAAUUUAAUUGAGUGGUCAUAGUUCUAGCUAAUAAUUGGAUGGAAUCACAAAACUCUCCAUUAGAAAUAUCAGCACAAGUAG